rnacentral:rRNA from 1 species
GAUGAACGCUGGCGGCGUGCUUAACACAUGCAAGUCGAACGGAAAGGCCCAAGCUUGCUUGGGUACUCGAGUGGCGAACGGGUGAGUAACACGUGGGUGAUCUGCCCUGCACUUCGGGAUAAGCCUGGGAAACUGGGUCUAAUACCGGAUAGGACGAUGGUUUGGAUGCCAUUGUGGAAGGUUUUUUCGGUGUGGGAUGAGCUCGCGGCCUAUCAGCUUGUUGGUGGGGUAAUGGCCUACCAAGGCGUCGACGGGUAGCCGGCCUGAGAGGGUGUACGGCCACAUUGGGACUGAGAGACGGCCCAGACUCCUACGGGAGGCAGCAGUGGGGAAUAUUGCACAAUGGGCGCAAGCCUGAUGCAGCGACGCCGCGUGGGGGAUGACGGCCUUCGGGUUGUAAACUCCUUUCGCUAGGGACGAAGCGUUUUUGUGACGGUACCUGGAGAAGAAGCACCGGCUAACUACGUG